ACUCCUACGGGAGGCAGCAGUGGGGAAUAUUGCACAAUGGGGGAAACCCUGAUGCAGCCAUGCCGCGUGUGUGAAGAAGGCCUUCGGUUGUAAAGCACUUUCAGUAGGGAGGAAGGUAGUGUAGUUAACACCUGCAUUAUUUGACGUUACCUACAGAAGAAGCACCGGCUAACUCCGUGCCAGCAGCCGCGGUAAUACGGAGGGGUGCGAGCGUUAAUCGGAAUUACUGGGCGUAAAGCGCAUGCAGGCGGCCUGUUAAGUCAGAUGUGAAAGCCCGGGGGCUUAACCUCGGAAUUGCAUUUGAAACUGGCAGGCUAGAGUCUUGUAGAGGGGGUAGAAUUUCAGGUGUAGCGGUGAAAUGCGUAGAGAUCUGAAGGAAUACCAGUGGCGAAGGCGGCCCCCUGGACAAAGACUGACGCUCAGAUGCGAAAGCGUGGGGAGCAAACAGGAUUAGAUACCCUGGUAGCUACGAG
rnacentral:rRNA from 1 species